rnacentral:Y_RNA from 1 species
GGCUGGUCCAAAGUGCAGGUGGUGGUUACAAAGUAAUGGAUCACACAGUCAUUACAGAUUUCUUUGUUCCUUUCUCCACUCCCACUGCUUCACUUGACUAGGCUUAA